GAAGCAGCCCGAAUGUUGCACCCUAGAUAGCAAAAAUCCAGUAGCCGAAAACAUCACUAGCUUAUGCUUUGAUUCGAGUAGCAUGAGGCAGGUCAAGGAAGUUGGUGACCUGAUGAUAGGGGAGCCAACAACCAAAAUCCUAGUGAAUGACAAUCGUAACUAUAAAGGUCCUAAGGUAGUGAAAUCCUUUGUCCGGUAGGUUCUAACCCACACAAAAGGUGUCACAAUUUGGGC
rnacentral:ncRNA from 1 species